AAGUCGUAACAAGGUUUCCGUAGGUGAACCUGCGGAAGGAUCAUUAACACGUAUCCAACGUUAAACAACCCUGUGAACUUUCAGCGCUCUUGUAACCAGGCGGAACAGCAAUCCCGGUAAAUCAAUUGGCGGAAAAGUUUUGAUUCGGGACCUCUGUCCAAAAGGUUACAAUCGAGUUGAGCAGUGGCAUGGUUUCCCUAAGCAGUGCAGAAGGAUCCACUGAGUAAGGAUAACGCAUCAACGGUUGCUAGAGGUCGAUCACCGGCCGGCAGACAUGUCACAGGAAACGCCGGGCACAAAAACUGAACAACUGUUAACAAUGGAUAUCUUGGUUCUC
rnacentral:misc_RNA from 1 species